AUAAAAUCAUCAAAAAAAAGGUCUGAUCUUCCUCAGUAUCCAUCUAAUCUACAAGGAUAGUAAGAGCCCCUUAAUUGAAAUAGAAAAUUUCAAAAGAAUUAGAUUGGAAAAAAUUUCCAUCAUCUGGAUCCCUUUCCUUUCGAAAUACAAACAUUUUGAAAUAGUUCAUUGACUGAAAGAGUAUGAUUCCUAUCAUACAUUACUCCAUUGGACUCCAAUGGAAUUGAAAAUUAAGAUAUUUUGAUUUUAAAUAGUUCAAUGCAUUGCACAAUGAUAUAUAAAACAAUUGAUACAAUUUGAUUCCUCAACUCAAUUAGUAGUACUUCUAAAGUCCACUUCUUCCCCACACUACGAGUGACAUGGAAAAUGUGAACACUACCA
rnacentral:lncRNA from 1 species